AGUGCUGAUCAUUAUGCAGGUAAAGCCAGAGAGAAGAGGAGAGGAAAUCCACGGAUAAGCUUCCUCCUAGGACUGUUGUUUUCAGCUUUCACUCGAGAUAGGAGCAUCCCUCAGUCUUGGGGAGGCCCAGGAGAGCUCCUUGCUGCUCCUUGCACCUGCCAGCUGAAGCCUGUCAAGUUACAGUAACAUGCUAGAACCAAAACCACUUCAAAAAUUCAAGAAGGCAACAAGUAAGAUUUGUACAGCACACUUCGUACACACAGCCUCUUCCUUCAGCUUAUUUGCCUGCCCUCUCUUCUGCAUCACAGAUGUGCAAAUGCUAUGUGCAUUGAUAAAACACAUCAACAAAACAAAUGUGAUAUGAUAGAACCUACAAUUGUAAUAGAAGGCUUUUUUGUGCCGUGUUUGACCAAUCUAUGACAGCAUAUGGGCACACUGGAAAGAAACUUGAUGCAGUCAUAUCAAGAUUGUUUUUAGGGGCAGUGUGCUUUAUAAAUGCAUUAAUGUGCACUGGUAACAAAAGCAGAGAUGAUACAAAUGGAUUAGGAAAAAUAAACUGUGGAAAACUGCACAUGUCCCACAUUCCAAAUUAAGUUUUACAAAUGCCUCCAAUUAAACUGGAUUCAGGAAAAGUGAAAUUUGGAGCACAGCAAAUCAGAGAAACAAAUAAAGCAAGAGAACGAACAGAGGAAAUCCUCUCAUCUCUAAAAUCACUCCUCUGAAAGGGACAUUAGGUGGGAAACUGAAAGCAUGCAGGUACAAUAUGAGUAAAAGUUGGGGUUUCUGAUGUACUGGAAUUCUCUCUUGACUUAUACUUAGAAAGGGUUAUCAAACAAAAAGUAGUGUUACAAAAAUAGUCCUGUUCCUCUCACAAAUUUAUGGGUUUCAGAAGGGACCCUCUGAAUGCUACUAGUAAAAAGGAAGAAAAUGAAUGACUUCGAUUCUAUUAACAGAGCUUUGCACAAAUAAGAGCAAGAAUCUUCCCACACUUCACCAAUUUAAUUACUCCAUGGCUUUUGCUAUUAACUACAUCAUUUGUUUUGUGUUUAAUCUGAGAAAGUCACAUUUCUUUGGUCAUUUUUUCAUGCAAAGUCAUUUUGUUUCAACACUCAUGUUUGUUUCCCCAUUCAAUGAAGCUUGUAAUUCUCCUGCCCCUGUCAUCUGGGUCAACAGUGAUCACAGAGCUGAUUUUGAAGCCUGCUCCUUGUGGCUGCCACUUCAUUUCCCCAGAAUGCCCCAGAUAUUAUAUUGUUCUGUAGGCUUUCUUGCAGGAGGAGCAGCAUAAAUUAAUGGUGGUCACCAUUAGGAAUCUUGUGAAUCAGCUGUCAUUUCUUUCCCAAAUAUAUUGAAAUGAUGCAUCAUCUAAGCCAGGCUUCCUCAAACUUGGCCCUCCAUAUUUUUUUGGCCUACAACUCCCAUGAUCCCUAGCUACUAGGA